rnacentral:lncRNA from 1 species
CUCAAUUUGAUCGGAAAUUAAAUAAAAUUGACCAACUCUUAAAGUAGUUGGGGUUAUUAAUUAAAUAACCCCAAAUGCACAUAACCUACCCAUACCCCUCAAUUAAAUCAGCAACCCAAAACCUCUUCUCCCUUCCCAGGCCUAAAAAAUUACACUCCAUCGGUCCAAUCCAGCCAUAUCAGGCCCAACAACUCGUGACCCGGUCCAGCCCAAUACUCAGGUUACCCUUCUUAAAACCAACACCACCUCAAACAGCGUACAACAACAGUACACCCACAUCAGCGAACAAAGCAGCAAUAGCAAUCUAUGCGUACAACUUUCCCUGAACCCGAGAACCCACAACCGAUCCAUCAAUAACCCGUCAGUUUCAACCCCAUAUCGACACCUCACCCUCGUUUUGAAUUUCGAAAUUGAUUCCUUUUCAAAAAUUCUGAAUUAUCCUCAAAUUUAUGUGACCCAUCUAGUAAUGUUAUACUCGGAACUCGCUGUUUUUCCUUGGUCGAUAUGUUUCUAGCCUCAAAUAGGCCAAUAAUGCAGUGGGGUGUUCUCACUUUAAUUGGACUGAUGAGUCUAGCAUUUUGCUCUGUUGUAUAAAGAAAUAUUAGUUGAAAUGCUAAAGUGUGGAUUUUGAUUGUUUCUCUUUGGAGAAUAUCAAUGUACGAGGAGGAAUAACCAUCUUUUUGUAUGUGAAUAUCGACCUUUUUCUUGCAAUAAGUUUUUUUAUUGGAAAAUAAGUCGCGUCUCUUGUUAAACGAGCUACUUUCUUUCCAAUUUUCCGUUAAUCUUUUGAUAUAGAG